rnacentral:rRNA from 1 species
CCUACGGGUGGCUGCAGUUAAGAAUCUUGCGCAAUGGGCGCAAGCCUGACGCAGCGACGCCGCGUGCGUAAUGAAGGCCUUCGGGUUGUAAAGCGCAAUAGGCAGGGAAGAAGAAAGUGACGGUACCUGUUGAAAGCACCGGCUAACUACGUGCCAGCAGCCGCGGUAAUACGUAUGGUGCAAGCGUUGUUCGGAUUUACUGGGCGUAAAGCGUGCGCGGGCGGAUCAUUAAGUCAGGUGUGAAAUCUUCGGGCUCAACCCGAAGUCUGCACUUGAAACUAAGAAGCUCGAGGAUCGGAGAGGCAGGCAGAAUUCCUGGUGUAGCGGUGAAAUGCGUAGAUAUCAGGAGGAAUACCAAUGGCGAAGGCAGCCUGCUGGACGGUGACUGACGCUGAGGCACGAAAGCGUGGGGAGCAAACAGGAUUAGAUACCCCUGUAGUC